AAAUGUUGCAAAGACUCCAGUAUUCUCAUCUUAUUGUUCACAUUUCCUACCAAGUACAACUUCUGAAGAUUCUUAAGCAGGUACUCAAGCUGGGCUCUUGAUGACAUCAGUGAAUUUCACACAAAGUUUAUUUCAGGUGAUCAUGGGGGAAGUAAAAAGCAGUAUGAUCUGCCUUUGUGGGAUGGUGGUGGAGGUGAAGCUCUUGUGGGUUAGUCAUUUAGAAAGCCUUAGUUGGGAUCUUAGGUAAGUAGGCUGAAUGCUAUUGAGAGAGGUAAUGUCUUCAAGGAUGAACGUUCUUGGUACAGCAGGCUAGUCUAUUUGCCUCAGGUACUCUCCAGAAACUUAGGCUGCUGUAUGCUCCAUAAGUUAGGAUCCUGCAAACAGACUCUUCAUCCAGGGACCUAGCAGCACCUUACAGACAGCCGUGUUCUUCUUUUAGAACCUGAGACGCUCUGUGCUUACUCUGAGGUGGGAGAAGUAACAGCAAAGCUGCUGACCCCAGGUGCACUGGGCUACCAAUGAAGAGGGUGACUCAGGACCAUGUAAGCCUGUGGGAGCCAGGAAAAGCACGGUACAGACUCCAGCCCUAUGUCUCCAGACUGAGUCCGAAGGAGACAUGCUGCCCAUGCUACCCAUCCAUCCUAGGGUAUCAGCACUUGGUCGAGGCAGGGUGCACAGGCCACAGCAAUGAUCAAGAAAGCAUCUGAGGCCUAAGCUUCAGGGAGGCAGCUUACAUUGAACCUCAGCUCUCUGCCACCCUUGGACACUAGCUUCAUUUCAGCUUCCUAAUCUCUAGAAGAUGCCCUCUGUUGUGACUCUGCACGCAAACGCAUCUCAGCAUCCACAGAUACAGCCUCCUAACUGACCUAAUAUUUUUUAGAUUUCACAUGUGCUCUCAAUCCAGGUAAGUGGUGAAGACAUAGAUUGCCCUUCCCCUUAACUGGGAGUUUCCAUAAUUACUGACCCUGCUUACUGGUGAGUGCGACUUUAUUUUUCUGGCUCCGGAGAUGGGCAAAGACCUCUUAAGAGCUAUCAUGGCGGGUCUGCCUGUUGUGCUGCUAACCCUCCAGUAGGGGGCGCCAAAGACUAAGGAUCUGCAUCAGCGCUUGUCACAGACGCCUGAAAAUCCUUUCCUUGGAGAGGAACACUAUGGGUGUGAAAUGCAUACGUGGUGAUAGGGUCAUAUACAGUUGUGAGCAACCUUAAAGCGCAUCUAAUCCAACCCUUCAUUCUACAGUUGAGGAAACCGAUGCCCAGAGAGUUUUAGUGACUUUCCCAAGACAGUAAAGUGGCAAAGCCAGGAUUAAAAUCCAGGGUGUCAGACGUCAAUCAUUCCACCAUUGCUUGCUGCCUCUCAAGUUGGGGUACAUGUGUCAGUUGCUUUUAUUUAACUUUAUUUUUUUUCUUCUUUGGUGUAAAACAAGGCUCACUAGUUAUGGAGGAGAGACAUAUUUGGAAAUGACUGGAAUGUAAAAAAGAUGAGGGAUCAAUAAAACCUAAAAAAUACCCA
rnacentral:lncRNA from 1 species